rnacentral:tRNA from 1 species
GCCUGGGUGGCUCGGUCAGUUAAGCAACCGACUUUGGCUCAGGUCAUGAUCUCAUGGUUCGUGGGUUCAAGCCCCACCUCGGGCU